UGAAGUAUAUAAGAUCUUGAAAUUCAUGGAUGAAAUAAAAAUUAAAUUUAAAAAUUCCUACGAACGAAGUAUAAAAUAUGGAAUCCACGAAUAUAUAUAUAUAUUACAAUAAUUAAUUACUCUUGUUCAAACUGAGUGUAUGGAUGAUUUGAUCAUUAGAUAUGAUGUAGGUAAAAGGUCAACUUAAAGAAGAAUAAAAAGAAGAACCCAAAAGCAUGCUUGAGAAUCAGAUAUGCUAUCGAGAAAAAGUAAUCGAUUAUAUGAUUGGCUUGCAAUAACAACUAACAUAAAUGAUAAGAACAGUCCCACCACAUACUGCUUUUUCAUUCUACUAAUAAUUUAGCUUUCUCAUUAAAAAAGAAUCAUUUUCUUAAAGUUAUUAUCUAAUUUUUAUAAUGCAACGAAAAAUCUAACUUUUUUAUAAAGUUAUGAUUGAGAUGAUAUGUAUAUACCCACACACUUCAAAUAUUUGUAUAAUAAUUCAGUUAAGUUCACAAUAAACAAUCAAAAUAACAUAACUCAAACCUACCAUGACCACAAGAUAGGGAGGUUCACUCUUCUACACAACCAUAGUAUUUUCUUUUAAUGAGAAUAGGAAAUUUGACAAUCUUACCUGCUCCCACAACUAUUUGUUUAAAAAAAACAUUAAUUACAUUUUAACAAUUGAAUCCGAUAGUAUUUAUGGAUUUCUUUAAGCUAGUAGUGGAUGAUAAAUAAUUAAAAUCAAAUAAACAUUAACUCAAAGAGAACAGUAGUUUAAUAAUAAUAAAAAUAAUAGAAAAACAAUAACUCAAAGAAAAUGGUAUUUUGGAAACAUUAUUAAAUAAAGACUUUGAUUGAAAACUACUGACACAAUUAACUUGGAGAAGAGGCCAAGAAUAGUAACAAUCAGACUGUAAUGUAUAUAUAUAAUUGAAGGCACAUCACAUCAUCCCAUCCCACUAGACCCAGAUAAAGGUUGGAUAGAGAUGAUGAGAUUCAAAGCCAAAAUUCAUCAAACAGAGCUAACGUGAAGGGGAAUCAUGGUCUUCUCAUCCAUGCCGUAAAGGCAACGAAGAGAUAUUUUGAAAGAAAGAUACAAAAGAAGAUAAAUUAUUUGAGAAAAUUGUCAAAAUAUGGAUUAGUUUUAUUUUAUUUAUAUAUAUA
rnacentral:lncRNA from 1 species